UCAAUGGAGUGGCCGAUAUGAAGGAGGUGAUAAAUCAAUCCAAGCGUCCAUUAACACCUCCACAAACCGCAUACACCAUCUGCCCAACAAGGCAACUUUAAGCUAUCCUCCCCCAUUAGAUGGCCAAACCAAUUCCUUCACCUCUCUAUGAAAAAAUCCCCCAGAAAAACACACUCCAUAGAGCCUCGGACGUCACCAUUUUCUUCCUUCUCCUCUCCCUCCUUGCUUACCGUCUCCUCUCCCUAAAAAACAAUGGCUUCACUUGGCUCCUCGCCUUCCUCUGCGAGUCAUGGUUCACCUUUAUUUGGAUUCUUAACUUGAGCUCCAAAUGGAAUCCUGUGUCCUACAAAACAUACCCUGAGCGCCUUCUACAAUGUUAUCGGUAUCCAAUAAUUCUCUUAGUAAAACUCUUCAUGUGCUUUGGUGUUUUUUUCUGCCUCCAAAUUUUAUAUAUAGUCAUACUUAUGAUUUUCUGAACAGAGUUGAUGAGCUUCCUCCAGUGGACAUGUUUGUGACAACUGCAGAUCCCAUGCUGGAACCCCCGAUCAUCACUGUAAAUACUGUUCUCUCCUUGCUGGCAGUUGACUAUCCGGCUAACAAGCUUUCUUGCUAUGUGUCCGAUGAUGGGGCUUCCCCUCUCACCUUCUUCGCUCUCCUUGAAGCAUCCAAGUUUGCUAAGCUUUGGGUUCCUUUCUGUAAGAAGUAUGGUAUUCAACCUAGAGCUCCCUUUAGAUACUUUUCCAGAGAGUUGUUACCAUCCCAUGAUAAUUCAAUGGAGUUCCUGCAAGAAUACAGAAAGAUAAAGGUACGCGCACUAUUCCUAGUAGGAAGUAGGAACCAUAAGUGGAGAUUAAUUAUAUUAGUUCAACUUAGUGCAAUUAUUUAUUUAUUUAAUAACAGUUAUUAGAAUGCAGAUGAUCCUGAAUUUAGAAUUUUCUUUUCCUUUAAUUUAUUGACUAUCUUUCUUUUUUUAUUCUUUUUAUACAUAAAAUCUCCUUAAAAAAAUAAAAUAAAAUUCCACUAGCAAGUAAGUUACGUGUCCAAGUAUAUCUUCUCUACAUCAUGUUACAAUGAUGCUUUGAGAAUAGCUUUUGUAGAUAUCUGCCUUACAUUUAAGCAAUUUUCUUUUUCUUCAUCCCCUUGUAGGAAGAAUAUGAAGAACUUAGACGAAGAAUUGAAGACGCAACCGUGAAGUCAAUAUCAUAUGAGCUUAGUACUGCAGAUUUUGUCGCUUUCUCAAAUAUAAAAAAAGGAAGCCAUCCAACUAUAAUCAAGGUAUGUUUAAAGAUAUAACUAGCUGAUUUGUUUACUUAUGAUUACCAUUAUUAGGUCUAUUUGGAUUGAUUUCUCAUAAGCUAAAAAGCAAAAUUUUUAAGUUCAAUAAAAAAUUCUAUAUAUAUUUGAUUAAUUUUAUGCUUAUGGCUCAAGAAAGUGCUCAAUAUAAAAGUCUUGAAAAUGUCAUAUUCUAUGUUUAAUAAAAACUUUACGAUAUCAAUAUUACUUUAAAAAAAUUAUGAUCUUAGCUUUAACUUUAUGUUGCAGAUAAAGAUAAAAACAAACAACCUCAAAUAGGUUCUCAAUUGUUACAUAAUAAGGGCCCACUAAAGCUAAUUAUAUGAGAUUAAAAUGAUAGUAUAAAGCUAUUUGUUUUUGUCUUUUUCUAUUUUAUAAAUUUUUUUUUUUUAAAAGUAACCUUUUUUAAUUAAUAAAAAAUUGUCAUGUGAGAAAAAGUCUCAUUUCUCAGUACAUUGAUUUAUACUCCAUUUCUUUGUACUUGUUGUAUGGUUAGAUUAAAAGUUCAAUAUGAUACUAAAUUUAAUAAGCUUGCCAUGAUCUCUAGUUAUACACAAAAUUAAAUAACAUUAAUUUUUUGCAAAAGCAUAAGCAUUUAAAUAUUUUGCCCGUGGAUUAGUAUUUUUUUUUAAAAAAAAAAAAGUAACCAAUUUAAGCUAUAACCAUUUGGUUACAACACGAGAGGGCUAGGGAGUGGUGGUAGAGGAAGUAUUUGACAACAUUUCUAUAACCAUGAAUGGUGACUUUGUAGGUUAUAUUGGAGAACAAGGAGAGCCGCUCUGAUGGGUUGCCACAUCUAGUCUAUGUAUCCAGAGAGAAGCAUCCCAAGCAUCCACACCAUUACAAAGCGGGUGCCAUGAAUGUUCUGGUAAGGAAGCCCCUUGAAUUGGUAUAAUUACUGAUAUUCCUUCUUUUCCCCUGAUUAUUUCAUGAUAAACAGACCAGAGUCUCUGGUGCUAUGACAAAUGCUCCUUUCAUGCUGAACGUAGACUGUGAUAUGUACGCCAACAAUCCACAGAUUUUUCAUCAUUCAAUGUGUUUGCUCCUCGGUUCCAAGAAUGAACAGGACUGCGGGUUUGUUCAGACUCCACAAUCCUUCUAUGAUGGACUAAAGGACGACCCAUUUGGAAAUCAGUUUGGAGUUUUGUAUAAGGUAUGCCAAAUUUCUAUAGUGAAGAGUGAUCUCUUCCAUACUAUAGAGCACACGUACUAGAAGCCUCUUUUAUUUUUUCAUUAAUUGAUAUCUUUGCUGAAUCAGUAUGUAGUAAGUGGAAUAGCAGGGCUUCAAGGACCUAAUUAUUCUGGAACGGGAUGUUUUCAUCGAAGAAAAGUUAUCUAUGGGUUAUGGCCAGAUGGAAGGAUGGAGUUCAAAGGAAGAAUUGGUAUGCAAUCAAUUUAUUUGUCUUAUGUAUCAUUUUAAUUUCCUUACAGGGAUCUUAAAAUGUUAUAUGAAACUAAGCAUUGCAGUUUUCCCUACUUUUUGGUGGGAAAAUUAACAGAUGAGAGAUUAGAAAAAACAUUCGGAAAUUCAAAGGAAUUCACAAAAACAGCUGCAAGGAUUUUAUCAGGGUUGAGUGGGAUUUCGGAUUGUCCAUAUGAUCUUUCGAAUCGGGUUGAGGCAGCACACCAAAUUGCAAGUUGCAGCUAUGAGUAUGGAACUAACUGGGGUACAAAGGUGAGCUGUCAAUAGUUAGAACAACAAGAAUAGUACCAUGUUUUUUGAAAAGAAACUCAACUAGAAGUUACAUGCAUUAUGUGACUAUCCAUGUUCAGAUUGGUUGGUUAUAUGGAACUACAACAGAAGACAUCCUCACAGGUAUGAGGAUACAUGCAAGAGGUUGGAAAUCCACAGAUUGCCGGCCUGACCCUCCUGCAUUUCUUGGGUGCGCACCCUCAGGCGGGCCUGCUGCACUUAUCCAACAGAAGAGAUGGGCCACUGGCCUCCUUGAGGUCCUGUUCAGCAAGAACAGCCCAUUCAUUGUCACCUUCACUGCAAAGCUCCAAUUUCGCCAAUGCCUUGCAUACAUGUGGAUUAUUUCAUGGGGUUUAAGGCCAAUUCCCGAGCUUUGUUAUCUUGCUUUGCCAGCAUAUUGCAUCAUGGCCGGCUCACAUUUCUUGCCCAAUGUGAGCAAAACUAAAACCAUUCAGUUUUCCUCUUAAAUUCAUACAUAGCAUUAGUAGUAGUACUUCACCAACCUUUGUUUUAUUACCAUUGACGCAGGUCCAAGACCCAGCUGUGUUGAUACCAAUAUCCCUCUUUGUCAGUUACAAUUUUCACACUCUAUUAGAAUACUGGGGGGCUGGAUAUUCAAUCCGAGCAUGCUGGAACAAUUUGAGGAUGUGGAGAAUAACCGCAGUGACCUCAUGGUUAUUUGGAUUUUUAAGCGUCAUUCUGAAGCUCCUGGGGUUAUCGGAGACCGUCUUCGAAGUUACAAAAAAAGACCAAUCUACUACUCCUGGGGAGGGCAGUGACAAGGAUUCUGGUCGGUUCACCUUUGAUGGGUCUCUGAUUUUUGUUCCGGCCACUACUCUUUUGUUGGUGCACCUGAUGGCACUUGUUACAGCCUUGUUAGGACUAUUUGAUCUUGUCGGGAUUGAAUCAAGAAUAGGGGAGAUAAUAUGUAGUGUGUGGGUGGUGCUAUGCUUCUCGCCGUUUCUUAAAGGCUUGUUUGGGAAAGGAAAAUAUGGGAUACCCAAAUCCACUAUAUGCAAGUCAGCAGCUUUGGCGUUUCUUUUUCUUGCUUGCACUAUUACAGUAAGAAAAUGACAUUAGUAAAAACUAAAAACCGUAACAAUUUAUUAAGCAUAAUUGUUAGUCAAGUGUGUUAUGACAUGUAUUAUCCGGUUCAAUGUACGAACAAAUUAAUUUAUGCAAUUAUAAUGGCAGUUUGCUUUUAACCAUUGCCGUAGCGGCAGUACCUCCAUGAAUUGAAAUGAAGUAAUGAUCACAACCGUGAGUUUGAAGUAAUGAUUAGUGAAAAAAAGACGAGGAAAAAAAAAAGAAAAAAAAAUUACCUUUUAUCAUAUAUUCUCUUCAUUCUCCACUCAUUAAUAUAUAUGAAUAUGGAAGAUCAUGGGUUCCCUACAUCCCAAAAAAAAAGAGAUUAAUUUCAAGAAUAUAUUGAUUAAACCGAGGAAAAUAAAACACAUAAAAUAGAAAAUUAAGUGAUUUAAAUUCAAAAGAUCAAGUCAAAAUAGAAAAAAAUCUUAGAAAAGUAAAGUUGCAUGUUGAAAAUUAGGUUAUCAUUCUUGAUUAAUUUGCUUAGUUUUUGGAGGUAUGCUACUAGGACUCUUUCCUUUCUUCGUCUUAAUAUGAGACCUAUUACCUUUCUUAAUAUCCAAAAUUUGGUUUUAAGGUAAUUUGACAUACUCAUUAGAUUAUUAACAUGCGACUAAAUUUUUCAAAGAGCCUACUACUACAACACUUACUAGCAUUAUGUCUUAACCUCUUACAUGUAGUGCACUUAGGGUCUUGCUUAGAGUUAGAUUUCCCAUAAGAGGAACAAACUUCCUAUGUUUUUAUAAAAGUAGUCUUUUCACUUGUGGGAGUUUCACAUAUAAUUAUAUAUCCUAAACUUCUCUUGCCUCUAAACAUUCCCAUUUUGAAUCAUUUCAUUAAAAUUUUAGGGUGAAGAUGAAAAUUUUAUCAUGUCGACUUUCAAAGAUCUUUUUCCUAUGGUCUAACUUUGAGGUUAAGGAUUUAUUCUUUUCAAGUACAAUGUGAUAUUCAAAAUCAAGGAACCUAAUUUUUCCUUAGCAAAUUGUAAUGUUCACAAGUUGUGUCCCUAAUCUUAUUACCCAAAUUAGUUUUUUUAAGUCUCAUAGGAACUUAAUUUUUCAUUCAAUUCAUUUUUCUCAUAUUCAAGAUAUUUAAUGUGAGAAAUCUUUUUGUUUAAAAUAAUUUUAAGCUUAACUAUAACACCUUAUACCCUGAGGCCAAGGGCCCUACGGUCAUUCCAUAUCAAAUUGAAACCAAAACUAAAAUAAAAUAUCUAGCCACAAAUUCAAUAAUUUUCUCAAACACUUAAAUCAAAAUUCUAAAAAUUAAUAAUGAAUUCAAUCUUAAGUAAACAAUCCCAUAAAAAAAUUAAAAAAGAAAAAAAAUCAAUUCUAAAGUAGUUUAUAAUAGAAGCAUCUUUCCUAUCUUGAUUUUUCUUCAUUGAUGUCACUUAUACUUGAAAAUGGGAAUUAUAGAAAAGGGUGAACUUGAUAGCUCAGUAUAAAAAAUAAUUUAAUAAGAAUGAUUAAUAUAGUAUAAAAUUAAACACUGAGAGAUAUCAUUUUUUUUUUACGAAAAUCAAUUAGUGAGUAAUCUCUUUUAAUUCAAUAGUUUAGUUCACUUUCUUUGAAAAAUUUAACACUUUCUAUUGAAAGAUUAAACAACAUAAUGCACUUUGCAUAAUAAUUCAUAUAAAAAAGAAUUUUACAAACAAAGAUUUUACUCUAAUCCACUCACAAUAACACCAUGCCCAAAUAGUUGAAUUUGUAUUAGGUGGCUAGCCUCAAAAUGUUAUUAGUGAAUGGAACGGAUUCCAAUCCAUAGUAUACCAAAGGCCAAUAACACCCCUAUUAGCUAGGGUUGUGUUGUAUUAUUACCCUCACUAAGGGUAAUAAAGGUCAACAACUUAUCCCUAUUGACUAGAGCCACUUAGUGUUUCUAAAAUCAUUUUAAUUAAUUAGAAAAAAAGGUAAAAUUCACUUACAUAAUAAUCAAACAGAUCACAUGAUGUUACUAAUUUAUUUUAUGAACAAAACACAACAUAUUUCAAUAAAAUAUUACCUAAUCCACUUUACGAAAUUUAAACAAUUUUGAUACUUUACUAAAUAGAGGAAGACAAAUAAAAAGGUAGAAAAUAACUCACUACACUAUUAACCCUUACCUUGAAGAACCCACUUAAAUUCUUGAAAGAAUUAAUCCACACCUUUAAAUUAUAGAACGAAGCAAUAUGAAGCAAAUACUAAAACUUCUUCUUUCUAACUCUUCGAAUCAAAGUUCUCCGGAGACUUUUUUUUUCUUCUUUAUUUUGUGUUUUCAAUUUUUUGAUAAUAUGAAUAAUUCAUAACAAAAUAAAGUUGGUGGGCAAUUAAAGGGAGCAAAAAUAUCUCACUUAAUUUGUUUUUCAAUUUUUUAAAAUAUAUAAAUAUCCCUAAAUUCUCCUUCCUAAUCACUAGAUUCAAUAGAACUAAUUUUAGUACCUGAGGAUAGUGAAACAGUGAAGGCAAUAAGGUUAUUGUUAAGAAUAUUAGGCUAAUCCAACCUAUGGUAAUCACCCUAGAGGAAGGGUGAAAAGGGUGAUAGUCUCUUUUUGCAAAUUAAAACUAUGUAAAUGUAAGAGACAAUUAUAUGCAAGUAUAUAAUAAGCAAUAUAUAGACAAUUGCAUAUAAAUUAAAGAGUAGGGAAAAGAAAAUGCAAACACAAGAGUUUAUAGUGGUUCGGCGCAACCCGACCUACAUCCACUCUUCUCUAGCUUCAAUCCGAGCGUGAGGUUCCACUAAUUCAAGGCUUCCAAACCAAGCCUUCAAGUAAUACAAUUGAAUUAUGGUUCCAAUUCACCAUCUUGGACUUUUGGCUCCAAGCACCCUUUACACUUCUCAAGAGAUAUCCCACUCUUGAACAACUUCCUCUCAAUGAUUUACAAAUAAAAGAUCUCACAAAAAUCCUAACACAAGAACUUUAAGCUCAAUUGAUACAAGAAAACUAGGAUUGAAAGGUGCACUAAGGAUAUGCAAGUUUCAGAACAAUGGUGCACUCAAAAACACUCUUCUAAGGCUCAAAUAUAAUCAAGAAAGAUUUGGGAAGGUUAAGUUUUUUAAACAAUGAAGAUUGGAGCCUUUUUAUAGAAGAGAAAAGUCAAACUAGCCGUUUGGGGGUUCGACCAGUCGAGUUAGGGGUCGACCGGUUGACUAGCCGUUAACAUUUAAUGCUUGGCAGGUGACCGUUGGACCUCGACCGGACCUCAACCGGACCUCGACCGGACUUCAACCAGUUGAGGUUCAACCUUGACCGGUUGAACAACCGUUCUGGAAGAAAGAGAAAGUUUUUUGCACCCUCGACCGGUUGAACUAGGGGUCUACCCGGGCCUCGACCGGCUGAGCUGUGGGUUGACCCGGACCUCGACCGAUUGAGCUGGGGGUCGACCCAGACCUCGAUCGGUUGAGCUUGCGGUCGACCGGUUCCUCACCCGGUUCAACCGAUUGAGUCGUUUUUUGGCUCAACAACCACCUUUUUCAACUUAAAACCUUUUAAAAUAAGUUUGAAAGACAUUUAACACAAAGUUUUAGUUGAAAACAUGAAAUCAUCCAAUUCUUAAAAUAUUUAAAACAAAAUAACUCUUGAAUGAUUUUGGUGCAUAAGUAAAGAAUGUAAUGCAUGAAAAUCCUAGUGCACUAACAACCUUACAAAGAGAUCUUAUGAAGUUUGGAUCUUGAAAAACUUUUUUUUUUGAGGUGGUCUUCUUCUUCAUGAUUUCUCCUUGGCUUGAUUUGUCUUUGUGAUUGCCACUUUGGAAAUCGUCUUGCUUAAUCACACUUGAAAUAUAGUCAUUAGUUCUAAAGCUUAUUUUGUUAUCAUCAAAAUCAAGAUUAAUCAAACCUUGGUUUCACAGUUAUCAUUGUCUUUUUUUGUUGAUCUUCGUGUAAUAAUUCCUAGUAAAGAAAUUAAAGAAAAACAAAAGAAAACACGCACAGAUUUAAUGUGGUUAGGUAGAUUGCCUACGUCCAUGGGAACAAGGAAAAAGACUUUCACUAUAUUUCAAUUAAUGUUACAUAAAAGGGUAUUUAUACUAACCCUCAAGUAUUGAAAUUCCAAAAAUACCCUUGAACAGUACCACGGGGAGGCGUUGUCCCCCGUACCCCCCCAACCUAUCGUUUACCCUUAACAAUAAAAAUGCAAAAUUAAAUGGCAAAUGUCAUCGUUCUACUUCGACAUUUGCCCAUUUUUCUCCAUAUGUCUUUUACUCAAUAUGAGCCACAUAUAAUUCAAUUAAUACCUACACUCAUUUUUUUUUGUCCCUGAUGCAACAAUCCCUCAUUCUCCUUAAUGGAUCCCUUGAAACCCUUAUCAAAAUUUGCACUAUGUGUCUGUCAAACCUUUGUUGUUGAUGAAAGGUUCUUGUAAGAAAGAUUUGAAAGGUUUCAAAGAUGGAUGUACAAGCUUUAAAAAUAAUGAUAUUUUUUUAAGGUUUAAGGGUCCACCAAUUUUUAAUAAAACAAAUCUAUGUAUACUUGCAAAACCCUAAUAAUUAAUUAUGGGGAGUUUCUGAAUUUUAAACCACUUUAAAAAUGACUUUCUAGAGUCAGAAAUGAAGGGAGAGACAAAAAAUCAUCAACAAGAUGUUUGAAUGCUUGUGGGGGGAAAGGGGAAAGAAAGCUUAAAUGCCCUUGAGAAGCAUUUGAACACCCCUCAAUACAUUUGAAUGCUCACCUUUAAUUAUCUCUUUAUUUUUGCAAUAUUUCGAGCUUUUCUCCAUAUGUUUCAUCCCAAUUUCAUAUUUUAUCCAUUCCAUAAGUUUUAUCAACUUUAGAUGCAUACAUAUCUCAAAAAACAUUGACAUUGAAAAGAUUCAACGUUAGCCUUGAAGAAGUCUGAAGUUAAAUAGAAGUUGACAAGACCUAAGGAAGUAUGUCACGUCUAAUCAAUAAGAAAUAUAACAAAAUUGUCAACUAAAUCUAAUACAUCAACAAAUUCAUAUGAGAAGAAAUCAGUUCCCUCUUGUAAUACAAGCUUUGGUGUGUAGUUAAUCCUAUAUGAAUUUUUUAUAUUGUCUUUGAGGAAAGAAAAGUGGCUUUAAAAAUCACCUGUGGGGAUUAAGAUCAAGUGGUAUAUAUGUAUGUACGUAUGUAUGGAGAGAUAGAGAAAUCAACCUCCUUGUGCAAUUGCAUUUUCCAUAGUUAUUGUUGCAUACCAAAUGUUGUUUCAUAUGGUUCAUCUUUGAGACCAUACAAUCACUACCUACCCAAUUUGAAAUGAAACUCUAUUUUGGUAAUGCUUUAUCUAAGAAUGAAAAUAGUUGACAAGGAGUAGAGCAUGUAAAAACAUUUUCCUAUUUGAUUUAGGUUAAGGGUUAUCAAACACAUCCACCAUUCAUGUCUUCACACCUAGCUACUUUAUUGAGAAAAUUAAAAAAGAAAGAGUAGGUCCAAGAGAAAAAAUAAGUGUAUUUAACAUCAUCCUAGGUUAUUAAUAUAUAGUUAAUAAAAAAAAUUCGAAUUACCUUUAGAGAUGCCUAAGAAUCCCAAUUUGAUUGUUUCACAGACAAGUUUUCUACCCCAAGUCAUGCAUGGAACUAUAAAUGCAAGAACAACUCAAGAUUUUUAUAACACAAGAGCCUUGACCUUUGUUCUCAAGAAGAAAACUAAAAAACUUCAAGAGAGGACAUUUUUGGGAGAAACCUCUAUUAUGUUGUUAAUAAUAAUAAUAAUAAUAAUAAUAAAAAGAUACUUUCUUAAUCCAUUUUUCUCAUUAUUAUUAUUCUUUUCCAUAACUUUCGAUAGUUAAAAACUCCCAGAAAAUGCUUCGUCUACUUUUAAAAAUAUUAGAUGAGGUCGGGUUGAGCUAUAUAUAUAUAUAUAUAUAUAUAUAUAUAUAUAUAUAUAUAUAUAUAGACACACACGUAUGUAUGUAUGUAUGUAUGUAUGUAUGUAUGUAUUAUCCAAACUCAUGGAAUGACCAAUGUCUGACAUACAUUUGAUUAGGUUGUUCCUUUC
rnacentral:lncRNA from 1 species